rnacentral:rRNA from 1 species
AUUGAACGCUGGCGGCAGGCUUAACACAUGCAAGUCGAGCGAGCGGCGGACGGGUGUGUAAUGUCUGGGAAACUGCCUGAUGGUGGGGGAUAACUACUGGAACCGGUAGCUAAUACCGCAUACCAUCAGAUGUUGCCAGAGGGGAUUAGCUAGUAGGUGGGGUAAUGGCUCACCUAGGCGACGAUGCCUAGCUGGUCUGAGAGGAUGACCAGGCAAACUGGAACUGAGACACGGUCCAGACUCCUACGGGAGGCAGCAGUGGGGAAUAGUGCACAAUGGGCGAAAGCGUGAUGCAGCCAUGCCGCGUGGGUGAAGAAGGCCUUCGGGUUGUAAAGCAGUUUCAGCGAGGAGGCGUUACUCGCAGAAGAAGCACCGGCUAACUACGUGCCAGCAGCCGCGGUAAUUC